rnacentral:rRNA from 1 species
CCCUACGGGGCGCAGCAGUGGGGAAUAUUGCACAAUGGGGGGAACCCUGAUGCAGCGACGCCGCGUGAGUGAAGAAGUAUUUCGGUAUGUAAAGCUCUAUCAGCAGGGAAGAAGAUGACAGUACCUGACCAAGAAGCCCCGGCUAACUACGUGCCAGCAGCCGCGGUAAUACGUAGGGGGCAAGCGUUAUCCGGAUUCACUGGGCGUAAAGGGAGCGCAGGCGGCACGGCAAGUCUGAUGUGAAAACCCGGGGCUCAACCCCGGGACUGCAUUGGAA